rnacentral:rRNA from 1 species
AACGAACGCUGGCGGCAUGCCUAACACAUGCAAGUCGAACGAGACCUUCGGGUCUAGUGGCGCACGGGUGCGUAACACGUGGGAAUUUGCCUCGGGGUAUGGAAUAACUCAGGGAAACUUGAGCUAAUACCAUAUAAUGUCUUCGGACCAAAGAUUUAUCGCCCUGAGAUAAGCCCGCGUAGGAUUAGCUAGUUGGUGGGGUAAAGGCUCACCAAGGCGACGAUCCUUAGCUGGUCUGAGAGGAUGAUCAGCCACACUGGGACUGAGACACGGCCCAGACUCCUACGGGAGGCAGCAGUGGGGAAUUUUGGACAAUGGGCGCAAGCCUGAUCCAGCAAUGCCGCGUGCAGGAUGAAGGGCCUUCGGGUUGG